CCUACGGGAGGCAGCAGUGAGGAAUAUUGGUCAAUGGGCUUACGCCUGACCCAGCCAAGUCGCGUGAGGGAAGACUGCCCUAUGGGUUGUAAACCUCUUUUGUCAGGGAGCAACGCCGGCUACGUGUAGCCGGACUGAGAGUACCUGAAGAAAAAGCAUCGGCUAACUCCGGGCCAGCAGCCUCGGUACUACGUUGGAUGCGAGCGGUAUCCGGAUUUAUUGUGUUUAAGGGGAGCGUAGGCGGAAUGCCAAGUCAGAGGUAAAAGCGCGGGGCUCAACCUCGCUCCGCCAUUGAAACUGGCGUUCUUGAGUGGGCGAGAAGUAUGCGGAAU
rnacentral:rRNA from 1 species